rnacentral:rRNA from 1 species
UACACUGGUGGCGACCGGCGCACGGGUGCGUAACGCGUAUGCAACCUACCCAUAACAGGGGGAUAACACUGAGAAAUUGGUACUAAUACCCCAUAACAUCAGGACCGGCAUCGGUUNUGGUUGAAAACUCCGGUGGUUAUGGAUGGGCAUGCGUUGUAUUAGCUGGUUGGUGAGGUAACGGCUCACCAAGGCAACGAUACAUAGGGGGACUGAGAGGUUAACCCCCCACAUUGGUACUGAGACACGGACCAAACUCCUACGGGAGGCAGCAGUGAGGAAUAUUGGUCAAUGGACGCAAGUCUGAACCAGCCAUGCCGCGUGCAGGAAGACGGCUCUAUGAGUUGUAAACUGCUUUUGUACGAGGGUAAACGCUCUUACGUGUAAGAGCCUGAAAGUAUCGUACGAAUAAGGAUCGGCUAC